rnacentral:lncRNA from 1 species
GGCAGGAGACCUGGCCAGCAGCGGCCGGAGCCUCAUGUAACGCUGCCUGUGGCACCAACGCUGUGGGCACGGGGCAAACGGGUGGAGUUUGAGCCCUUGGCACCAAACAGGCACAAAUAGCAGCUGCAGCAGCAUGUACAUUCACGGAGUACAGUGCAGAGGUUUCUGAUGAGUCAAAUGGAAAGUGGAUUUUGUCUUGAUGUAACUCAGGAAGCUUCCAUGUGAAGAAGCCCCCUUACCCCAGAAUCUGAUACCUGCCCUCAAUACUUGCCAACUGAGCCUUCUAACUGUGAAUACUGACUUCUGACACUGCCUUGCAGAGCACUUGGAUCUGAUACUCUUGACAGAGGGGGAGCUGUGCCCAAGAGCGCCCAUCAGAUAAGUCCGACCUCCUCUUCCUCCCCUGGCUGCCUGCCCUGCAACUUCUUCCAUCUGAUCAUCUGAUUCCUCCACAACUCUUAGCCAGCCUUAGGCACCAAGUUCACAUGAAUUAACAUCUACAUAUGAACAGCCUCACAGGAGGCCAGAGCUGGCUGGCAAAAAAUGUAAAGCUGGAGCAUAUCUACUUGGCACAGUUUCAAGGGCACCGUGAAGUCCUGCCAACUCCUGUGCAAAAACUGUCUUUCUCUCCUCCCCUCAACACUCCCUGCACCUGCUGCUAAUGCCUGGAAUUCCUCCAUCAGAAAGUGAUUUCAUUUAAUUAGGUAAUGUCCCUUAACAUGAAACACCUCAAACCAGACUAUGAUUCCCUUCCAAAUGCAAAAAGAUGAGAUGCACCACACAAGUGACAUGCAGCUGUACUUUAAGCAUGAAAAUGCUCAUAAUAGCAUUUUUUCAAAUGAAGAAAAUUUUACAACAAUAACAUCACCGCCCCCCUGCCCCAAUACUAAAAUAUAAAAAUCUACCCAGUGGGAAGUGGA